AUCUCUUGUUGGAGAUCCCUGAUUACUUUGGAGUUUUCAAAUAGAAUUAACCUGGAAAAUUGUGAACUUGCUUCUUGGAAAACAGGUGCUUAAAGGAAACUUCUCAUAUUCAACAUCAUACAAUUAUCCACCAUCUUACAGAUUCACUGAAGCCUGAACCUAGGGGGAGGCAAAAUAACAACAACAAAAAAAUAAGUCUUUCAGAACUCAAAAUACAACUGGGAUUCACUGUCAAAUUUCCUGUCUUCCUGUAAAUGGGAAGAAUGGCUGGAAAGUUCUUGAUCACUAACUGGAAGCGAGAAGAAAAUGAUUCUAGACCUUUGGCUGCAAUGCUUACUUACUUGCAGGAAGAGGUUCACCUAUAAUGACUGAAGUUUACAUUAGGAGCAUCGUUAGACCACUAAGUAGUUCAUCAUGCUCAGCUUCAAGCUGCUGUUGAAAAAUAUAAUUUCUUUGCACCAGACAUUGCAUAUAUACAUUACAUAUGCACUACAGCUAUCCCUUUCCAUAUGUACAAAAUUUUCAACUACUUCAAAAGUAACUGAAAUUUACUUAUGUCUACUUGAGCUUGAGUUUACUAUUUAAACAAUUACUACAACCAAUUUUGGCAGUUUCUCACUUGAAGAUACUUCUGUGUAUUUUUCUGACAAUUUUUGGUUUGGUGAGUGUAUGCCUUGACAAAAGGGCUAUGUUGCUGUUGCAAAGCACAUUUUUUUUAUUUAUUUUGUCAAAGUCAAUAUAUUAGCACAUAUUUUGGUGUAAGAAAAUAAGCAUCCUGGAAUUCUUGAUCACUGUGAUUAAAAAUAACUCCUUUAAUAAACCAAUAAUUAUUUGAAUUACAUUGUUGCAUAAGCACAGUCCACAAGAAUUAACAGCCCAUUGCAUUUGACUGAAAUGAUCCACAUUCCUCAGUUUUAUCCCUGGAAUAUGAAUCUGUGCGCUAUCAUCACAGGCAGACCUUCCAACAUGUAUCCAUAUUUUUCUAUCUCAAUACCAGGUAAUAUUUGAGUCUAGCUUCAAUACUUGUCCCACAAGCUGUUUCUGAUUCCAGUCUGUUUCGUAGGCUGCACGCAUCUUUUCCAAUGAAAGCUAUUACACUAUCCUCAAUGGUGACUUUCCCACCCAUCCAUCCUUCACAUUUGACUCUCCUUCCUCAGAACAGACCUCGUGGAAAACACCACCUGUUCUUGUCUAAAGCUAAAUUAAAAAAAUUACUAUUUCUUUCUCCUGGAAGAUCUGUUCUAUCACUUGUAUUUUAAAAUGGAUUAUUAAUAUAUGUAAAGAGAAGUAGAGAAAGCACAUUUCAAAUAAAUAUUUGUUGUAUUAAUAAAGAACUCAAUGCUUGAAAAAGCAAACUGCUUGAUUAAAAACUUUCAAAGCUGUUAAUGGACAAUUACUUGAGAAUUACAGGGUUUACCAGCAGCAUAGCUAGUUACAGUGAGCAGGCUUUCUUUUGGAAUGAGGCACUACAGAAUAUCCUAUGGUUGGGAUUUUUUUUUUCCUGAUUUUACUUAGAAAAGACUUAUUUGCGUAACAGGCCUGACUAUCCAAUUGCCAUUUCACAAGAUCUGUCAUAAUUAUGUAACUUAAGCAGUUUGAGAAAUUCCAGCCAACCAAGGUCUACCGAUCAACUAACUCCAGCGCAUGUCAGUAUGUUGUAUCAGAAUGCUUUGUAUCAUUACAGUUUAGGUCUGAGUCACGAAUUUUCGUUACAGUGAAAUAAAUUCCAAGCUGUGAGUUUGAUGCCUGCAAUUCAGCAGGGGACAUUAAAAACAUUAAUGAACAAACAUAAUUGUCUCAAAACGAAACUUUUAAGAAUGCAGAACAAUUCUCCAUAAUAGUAAAACUAGGAAGACAGAACAGUUUAAAAUAAAAGUUUUCCCAAAGGCAGAGAAUACAACUGAAAGUAGAAAUUCUUCUAUUAGAAUAGUUAAUUUGGAGCAUAACUGGAUCCUGCAGAAGUAAAACUAAAGAGACGCUAAUGAGAGCAUAUAGUUAACUGAAGACAAAGCUAUGAAUAAAUCUCAAAAUGAACAUUUAGUACUAUUAAAUUCUAUGGAAUAUGAAUUAAAUACCCUAGUUGAAUAUAAGAGAGGUGCUGCGUUUUUCUGGGGCUUCUCAUAGUAGAAGUAUUUUGGCAAACUGAAUUACUGCUUCAAAAAAAAAAAAAAAAAAGCUACUGUGGUUUUGCUGUUUGUGUCCCCAACGCUCCCUUCAAUAUCAGCCUGCAAGUUUCUUUGAUGUCCAGACACAGAAGAAUUAAAUGUGACUGUUGUUCUGUCCAUGGUCUGAGGCCAUAUUAUGACGGUAGUACUCCCAAGUACUAAGCCAGAUGGCAAGUAAUGGAUGCCUGGCUGAUAUUUUUAGCACUGUAUGUUAUAUAUGACCAUUUGACAGAUUCUUGCAUUAAGGAAUAACAGCAACAAUUUCUGGAAGUGUUUAAAAUGUAUGAAAGUUUUAUCACUUGAAUGUUGAAUGGCAGCAGGUCAACAAUAAAACUUUCAAGGC
ensembl:lncRNA